CAGUUUCUUUGGGCUGGUUCUGAGAUGGACUCUGUUCGAGAUAUGGUGAAGACCUUGAUUGAAGCUCAGAAGUGGGCAGAAGGGAUAAGAGAUUGCAUAACAAAAAUUGAGUUUUGGUAUCAAGACUCAACU